AGUACGGCGAGUGAGCGGCAAAGCUCAAUUUGAAUCUGGUACCUUCGGUGCCCGAGUUGUAAUUUGGAGAGGGCAACUUUGGGGCCGUUCCUUGUCUAUGUUCCUUGGAACAGGACGUCAUAGAGGGUGAGAAUCCCGUGUGGCGAGGAGUGCGGUUCUUUGUAAAGUGCCUUCGAAGAGUCGAGUUGUUUGGGAAUGCAGCUCUAAGUGGGUGGUAAAUUCCAUCUAAAGCUAAAUAUUGGCGAGAGACCGAUAGCGAACAAGUACAGUGAUGGAAAGAUGAAAAGAACUUUGAAAAGAGAGUGAAAAAGUACGUGAAAUUGUUGAAAGGGAAGGGCAUUUGAUCAGACAUGGUGUUUUGUGCCCUCUGCUCCUUGUGGGUAGGGGAAUCUCGCAUUUCACUGGGCCAGCAUCAGUUUUGGUGGCAGGAUAAAUCCAUAGGAAUGUAGCUUGCCUCGGUAAGUAUUAUAGCCUGUGGGAAUACUGCCAGCUGGGACUGAGGACUGCGACGUAAGUCAA
rnacentral:rRNA from 1 species